ACUCGCGCAUGGUGGAUUCACAAUCCACUGCCUUGAUCCACUUGGCUACAUCCGCCCU
rnacentral:tRNA from 1 species